ACAACCUAGGUUUACCUUAACUCUAGGUUCAGUUCUCAACCUAUAUUCUUAACACUAGGUUAGAUGCCACACACCUAGAUCCCGACUCUAGGUUCACACUCAACCUAUGUUCUUUAACACUAGGUUAGAUGCCACUCGUUAUUUAUCCUAGGUUCAACAACACUAGGUUCAAUGUCAUCUAUGUCCGACCUAUGUUUAUUAACACUAGGUUAAUGCCACUCGAUCUACUUGAUAUCCUAUUUGUCAUAUCGAGUCCAUAUGCACAUGCAUCUUAUCUAACAUGCUCACAUAAUGUUACAUGCACCUAGCAUACAUUCCAAUGCACACAUACA
rnacentral:lncRNA from 1 species